rnacentral:rRNA from 1 species
GCAUUUGACCUCAAAUCAGGUAGGAUUACCCCGCU